rnacentral:rRNA from 1 species
UACGGAGGGUGCAAGCGUUGUCCGGAAUCACUGGGCGUAAAGGGUGCGUAGGCGGCUCUAUAAGUAUGGUGUGAAAUCUCCCGGCUUAACUGGGAGGGUGCGCUAUAGACUGUGGGGCUAGAGUGUGGGAGAGGAAAGUGGAAUUCCUGGUGUAGCGGUGAAAUGCGUAGAUAUCAGGAGGAACACCGGUGGUGUAAACGGCUUUCUGGACCAUAACUGACGCUGAGGCACGAAAGCGUGGGUAGCAAACAGG